UAAUUGAAGCCAAAAAGAGGCUUUUCACUGG
rnacentral:tRNA from 1 species